rnacentral:rRNA from 1 species
UACGGAAGGGGCAAGCGUUGUUCGGAAUCAUUGGGCGUAAAGGGCGCGUAGGUGGUUCUGUAUGUCUACCGUGAAAGCCCCCCGGCUCAACUGGGGAGGGUCACUCGAUACUGAUCGACUUGAAGGCAGGAGAGGGAAGCGGAAUUCCCGGUGUAGUGGUGGAAAUGCGUAGAUAUCGGGAGGAACACCAGUGGCGAAGGCGCCGCUCUGGGCCGGAGACUGACGCUGGAGGAAGCGAAAGCGUGGGUAGCAAACAGG